CAUGGAUUCAACGGUCAGAUAUCCAGCAUAUUCAGUCUCAUAAUCAGGCCUCAUUUUGUGCCAUAUUCACAUGGAAAUGCUAAGCUGCUUAUUACCAUAUGGAUGCACUUAAAGACAAUCAACUAUGGGAGCUGCUAGGGGAAAACUAAGAUGCACACUUCCUAGAGGUCAGCCAUCUUUAUCUUCCCAGGACUGUUCUCUAACUGUAUUCACAUGAGCAUUAAAUCUUUGAAAACCUCCUUAAAUUUCGAUCAGAUGUAGGUCUGUUACAGUAAAUCUGAAACCUACUUACUGUAUUCUGAAACCUGGUAAUAGUCCAUCUAUGAAUGUUUGAAAUAGUUACAAGGAUUUUAAAACCUAGUUACUGCGAUUUUGAGAUUAAUUACAGUGAAUCUGAGACUUGGUUACAGCAAAUCUAAGACCUUGUUGUGAAUCUAAGAUCCUGCUACUGUGAAACUAUAACCUGGAUACUGUGAAUUUAAGACUUUGUGGUCAUAACUCUAAAAGCUUAUUACAGCAAAUCUAAGACCUAUCUAUAUCAGUGGUUCUCAAAUCCAGUCCUCGAGUCCCCCCGUCCUGCAUGUUUUGGAUGUUUCCCUGCUCCAACACACCUGAUUCAAAUGAUCAGCUCGUUAUCAAGCUCUGGAAUGGCUUAAUAACGAGCUGAUCAUUUGAAUCAGGUGUGUUAGAGCAGGGAAACACCUAAAACAUGCAGGACUCUGGGCUCGAGGACUGGACUUAAGAAACACUGUUCUAUAUGAAUUUGAAAACCCUGUUACAAUGCAACUUAAACCUCGUUAAAAUGAACCAGAAACAGUGAAAUAUUGAAUCUGAGACCUAAAUUAUAUCUGCGAAUUAGUCACUCUGAUAGUUUGUCCGAGUGAUUUUAAGAACUAGGUGCAGUGAACUUUGAGUCAGUUAAUCUACCAUAAUUUCAUUGAGGGAACCUUCCUAAAAGGAUUCAUGAAGUCUAUCUAAUCCAAACUAAUGCAUUUUCAAUUUGGUUAACAGUGAAUCUGAUACUUGGUGGGUGUGAAUCUGGAACCUAGAUAUUUUGAAACCCAAAUUUGCAUACUGUAAAAUCUGAGACUCAAGUACUGUGCCACUAAAGCCUAUUUACAGUAAAUCUGAGAUCUAGUUACAGCAAAUGUAAGACCUUGUUACUGUCAAACCAAGUUACAGUGAAUCUGAGACCAGUUACUAGGAAUUCAAAACCUACUGAUAGGGGGUCUGAUACAUUGCCAGGCUGGAAUACAAUGAAUCUGAGACUUUGUUACCGUGGAUCUGACACCAAGUUACCGUAGAUGUCAGACCGAGCAGCAGUCAAUCUAAAUAGUAGUUACAGAGAACCUGAGACCAAGUCACUGUGAAUGUUAGACUUAAAAAAUGUUUUAACACUGAUUUUAAGAUAAAUUACAGAGAAUCUGAGAGUAUGUUACUGUGAAUCUAAGACCUACUGUGACUUACAAUGAAUGCAAUAUUUUGUUGCUAUGAAACUCAUAGUUCGUGAAUCUGAGACCUAGUCACAUGGUACUUAGCUACUUUAAAUCUGGGCCUAGUUACCAUAUUUUUGAGAUUGCCUCUAAAUCUGACAACCAGUCACAGUGAUGUUAAGGUUUAGUUACACUGAACCUGAGACCUGGUUCCUGUGAAUCCAAGACCUAGUAUCUGUAAAUCUGAGACCUUAUUACAAAAUAGCUAUUUAGUAAAUUAGAUUAUUAUUAAGAGAAUGAAAUAAAGAACUACCGAGCUGAAUUGUAUCAUUAUUAUAUCAUAUGUGAAUGCAGGCUUUGAAAUGGCAUGAUAUGCUGAGCAUCCAGUGGGAAGUUAGUCACAAUUCAGACACUUUUUUAGUAAUUAAAAAAAAGGAAUAGAGACUGGUUCUAUGUAAUCUUGCUCAGGUCUUCCCUGAUGAGAUGUAUCUCACUUGAAUUGAAAUCCCAUCUUCAAUACUUUUGAUGCUGACUAUAAACUUUAUUUUCAUAUAAAGGGCCUUUUGAUAUUAAGUAGUAGUUGGUCGGGAAUAAAAGUGGAAGACCAUGCUGUAUGUGGCUCCAAGCUGACUCUACUCUGUUCCAGUUUAUAUAUUAUGUUCUCUUAGUUUAAAACCUGUUAAGUGCAGUACCAUAAACCCCAUGAGCUAGCUUGAACAUGAGUUAUUGAUAUGCCAUGGUCUUCCAUGGUCUUUAGACAAAUCAAUAAACCAACCAACUCAAGUCUGAGCCUAUAGGGAGCACUGUGUUGCUUCAGUUGUUUCUAAUCAUGUUGCAAAAGGGUGAAUAUUGAGGACCUGACCGUGGACUAUGAGAUAUUUUGUCCCCCCUUUUUACUCUGAAGCGAAUAUAUAAUUUGAUGUCAUUUAAACUGUCUAUUAACAUUUCGUUUGAUGCAUCGCAGGUAAAUUACAGGUUACAGAAAUAAAUGUACUCACUUGCAUUUUUGAUAAGCCCAACUCCCCUUUCACAUAUCCAGAGUUAUGCAUUGUAUUUGUUUUUAUUGU